UUCUCACAUGGUCAAGUGGCUUGGAUACCUGACUCUCACCCAGGAGGCCCAGGUUCGAUUCUCGGCGUGGAAU